GGAUCAAUACUGUGUAUUGGCCAUGGGAGUCCUUCAAGCCUCUUUCCUAGGUCCUCUUCUCUUUUCCCUCUAUACCAUUCCUAUGCUAUUCCUAUUCUUCUUCUCUUUCUGCCCUCUCUCACUUGGUGAUUUCAUCAGUUCCCAUAAGUUCAAAUAUCUUCUCUGUGAAAAUAAUUCUAUUAUCUAUAUAUCCAGCCCUUACCUCUCUCCUGAGCUCCAACCUCACAACAACUACUUCUUGGGAAUCUCACGCUGGGUGCCUCAUCAACAUAUUAAACUCAACAUGUCCCAAAACAGAACUUCUUAUGUUUCCCCUUUGAGAGCAUCUCCAUCAUCCUGGGCAUUAUUCACAACUUGGGUGUCUUCUUCAACUCUUCACUCAGCCCAUAUCACCAGUCCCUUGCCAAAUCUUGUCAUUCUUGCCUUCCCAGUCUUUCUUAUAUGCAUCCCCUUCUCUGAUAUUGCCAUCAUUCUGGUCCAGACCUCAUCACCUGACUCUUGGAUUACUGCAGUAGCUUCUGGUUGGUCUGCCUGCCCUAAGUCCCUCCCUACUUCAAUCUGUCAUCUUCCAUUCGACUACCAAAAUGAAUUCCUAAUGUACAGGUCUAACCGUGGCACUCUCCUCCUCAGUAAACUCCUGUGGCUCCCUAUCACCUCCAGGAGCAAAUAUAAACUUCUCCAUUUGCUAUUUAAGCUUUUCCCAAUAUGACUUCUUCCUACCUCCGCAGAUUUCUUACAUUUGAAUUCUUUCUAUACCCUCUACCAUCCAGCCUCUCUGAAUGUCUUGCUAUUUCUUGAAUGUGACACUAUCUCCUUUGCUCUGGCUGCUUCUCAUGCCGAAAUGCUCUCUCGCCUUACACCUGCCUCUUUGUUUCCUUGUUUUAAGUCCUACUUCUGACAAACACAGGCUGUGUGUGGAUGAUACUCUCUAAGAGUGUAAUAUACGGAGAAGCUGUUAGUGUGCUUUGGUAGAGGAAAUUUUCACACUGGAAAUUCCCUUCACUGAGGAAUUCAGGACUUGGACCUCCUAUCUCUCUCUGCCCCAUCCCUAAUGUGUAAGAAUCAACUUGGCACUGGGGAUAUGAUGGGGAAGGGGGAAUGUUGCAAUCUUUACCUUCAGCUCUCAAUGAAUGAAUUAAAAAUUUGUUAAACACUCAAUCUGUUUCAUGAACUGUGCUAAGUACUAGAAUUACAAAUAAUAAUACCAAUGAAUGCUUUGUUAUUAAGUUGUGUCCAACUCUUUGUGACCUCAUCUGGGGUUUUCUUGGCAAAAUUCCUGGGGUAGUUUGUCUUUUCCUUCUCUAGCUUAUUUUAUAGAUGAGGAAACUGAGGCAAACAGAGGUAAGUGACUUGACCAGGAUCACAUGGCCAGUAUGUGUCUAAGGCUAGAUUUGAAUUCCUGACUCCAGGCCCCACACUCAGUCCACUGGGAGCGAAGUUAAACAGUCCUUGUCCUCAAGGAGCUUGUAUUUUAAUAGGGGAAGAAAAUACAUUUAGGGGAUUGGUCGCCAGAAGAGAUGUUUUGGUCUGGCAAGUCCCGGGCAUGGGGAAGUGGAAUCCAGAUAAAGAAUUACUCUUUUCUGUCCAGGAAAGGCAGUGCUGAUUUGAUUAUUUUUUGGCAUUGGCUCAGAGGGCAGCAGGGCUUUACGCAGGAUGACAUCUCACCUAUCAGGAGGGAAGGCCCCUGAGUAGGAGUAGGGAUGUCUGGUCCAAACUGUGUUUAACAGGAUGUGUAUACAAAUAUGUUUGAUAUAAUGUAAUCUGUGAUGAGUACCAGGGAAGGACAAGUAAAAACACUUUGAGAAACUUGAGGAGGGAAAGAUCAUUUUGCUAGGGGUGGAGUCAUGGUGGUCAGGGAAGGCUUCCUGGAAGAAGUGGCAUCUGAGCUGAACCUUGAAGUCAGGGAAGGAGAUCAGUAGGCAGAGAUAUAAGUGUCAUGGAGAAGGGUACCCUUUAGCCAUGCGGGACAGUGUGUCAAGGCAGAGAGAGAUGGGAGAGGGCAGACUGAGACUGGGAAACGAUGAACAAUCUAGUUUAUCUGGAAUGUGGUCUACCUCAGAGAUAUCCAACAGACUUCCAACAAAACACUUCUGUGUGGCUUGAACCAGAUUAAAAUUGGGAAAUAUUUAACAAAAUAAAUAACAAGAUAUUUAAC
ensembl:lncRNA